rnacentral:rRNA from 1 species
GGGUUGUUAACCAUAUACUACAAUGUGGGUAAUUUCAACAUUGUUUGUCAAAUGGCAUUUGUCUUUUAGACAAUUCCCAUUUCAGUUCAAGAACAUAUACAUGCAACGUGAUGUUAUGAAAUUGUAACAUYCCUGAAUGAUAUGAACAUGUUGCCACUAUUUGAGUGUACUCAGCGAAUAUUGAGAUUGACUUARAUAGUGACWUGUAUGGCGACGAUGUUCUUUUAUCAUUUGUAUAAUGCAACCUGAGCUCAGGCGUGAUWACCCGCUGAACUUAAGCAUAUCAUUUAGCGGAGGAAAAAAAAACUAAA